UCUUGAAAAUGACUGUUUUUAAAAUGGCAUGAACCAAGUCAUUAAAGAUACUUUACAGAAGUCUUCAGAAGUUGCGCAUGGUUAUUCAUCUCUGGUUAAGAAGCACAGAAUUUUGUAAAUGCUUCCAGCCCACAUGAUGGUAAAUUUCUUCAUGCAGCCUCCCAAGUCCAGCCUCUCAAGCUCUGGGUGUCAUCGAUGUGGUGUGCUUCUUCCCAGUUCUGGAAAAUGAUACAAAUGAUACCUGUCCUGCUCCCAUGCUAGUUUAUUCAUAGCUGCAUCAUAGUUACAUCACCUCUAUUCUAACCUGCUGGUUUUUUCAGGCUUGUUCCUCGUUUCCUUCCUCAUUCUGACAACUCUGCCUGUACAGACAGGACUAGAUGUACUCACGGCCUCCAUUGUGGUUCCUGCAACUCCGUUCUUUAUUCAGCAAUAGAUGCUAUUGAACUGUUAGCAGAACAGUGGGAAAAUUGGUUGAUUCAGUGGAAAGCUUCAAUAGCAGUAGCAAAAACAGCUUUGGUAAGUAUUCACAAAUGGCAACAUGUCUCUGUGCCUGAUGUCAUUUUUUUAUGAAGUAAUUUACACUGAUGUUUUUU
rnacentral:lncRNA from 1 species